rnacentral:rRNA from 1 species
AUUGAACGCUGGCGGCAGGCCUAACACAUGCAAGUCGAGCGAGCGGCGGACGGGUGAGUAAUGCCUGGGAAACUGCCUGUUGGAGGGGGAUAACUACUGGAAACGUUAGCUAAUACCGCAUACCACCAGAUGCUCCCACAUGGGAUCAGCUUGUAGGUGGGGUAAAGGCUACCCUAGGCGACGAUCCCUAGCUGGUCUGCGAGGAUGACCAGCCACACUGGAACUGAGACACGGUCCAGACUCCGACGGGAGGCAGCAGUGGGGAAUAUUGCACAAUGGGCGCAAGCCUGAUGCAGCCAUGCCGGGUGUGUGAAGAAGGCCUUCGGGUUGUAAAGCACUUUCAGCGGGGAGGCGUUACCCGCAGAAGAAGCACCGGCUAACUCCGUGCCAGCAGCCGCGGUAAUAC